CUCAUAGUUUGUAAUUUUUUGGAGCAAGAUAAGCGAACAAUAGUGGCUCAACUGUUGAGAUAUAUUUGAUGUUUUGGUGUUAUGUUUUUUCAACUGUUUUUCGUUGUUAUGGGGCGAAAAUGUGAUACCCGCGGUUAUUUUGCAGAUUUGACGCAUUGCAUGUAUCAACAGAAAAUGUGAAGGACAAAACAUAGUUGCCACUAGGGCAUGCUUACAACGAGUAACCGUGUAUCUUUUCACUGUCAGUCCCAUAUGUUUCAUUGCCUAAUUAUUAUCAAACAGCCAAAAGGAAGGGGAAGGACGAGAAGAAUACAACUUUUAAAAAGACACAAUUGUAUUGCAAGAAUUAUGAUUUUUCAUUGAUAAAUAUAAUUUUAAAGAUUGGAGCAAUAUUUAAUUUACUUUAUCUUCAUUUGCAAUUUUAGUUUAUUUCAAAUGAAAUAAUUCUAUCACAAACUGAUAUUGGGGUCAUAAGCAAUAGCACAUGGAUCCUAACAUUUUUUGAAAGGGUUCUAAUAUAUUGCAAGAUUGCUUUGCUUUAUUGAAAGAAAAUCCAAUUUAUAAAUUUACUAUCAAUAAAGAUGAAUUUUCGUUCUGAAAAAUUUAUUACCAAUUUUUUAAUAUGUUUUCUUGUGUUCAAGGGUUACUUUUGAAAGGGACUUUUCUUCUUGGGUUGCAUGAAAUGAAAGCAUCUAAAAUUUCUUUAAUAUUUCAUGGUAUAUAAAAAGUUUCUAAUAACAAUUGCCCAAAUAAAUAUAUUUUCCAUUAUCUGCUUUCUCAAAUCAUUUUGAUUUUCAACCCACACCAAUCGGUUCCAAACAAACUCUUACACAACAGAAACAAUCAGGUAUGCUCAAUUUUAACUAGAAAAUAUUCUGUUUCAAAUUUUCUAACUUAUCAACAGUCAACUAGUAUCACGCAGGCCAUUUAUUUGAAUUAGACGAAAUAUUCUUGCAUAAUCGCUAGUAAUUUGUUAUGUCUUACUCUUAAGACUUAUCUAUUCAAUUUUAAUUGACGACGAUUAUAAUGUUGCAGAAGAUUGAGAAAUUAAAUAAUUUUUAAGAAAAUUUUCAUGAUGAUAGGGAUAAAAACGAUGGUUGACAAUUAUGCUGACUUAUUUAAUACAUUUAAAUACUCAAACAUAAUUUUAUUUAGAUCUAAAAUUGUAGCGAAAUUCCCAAUAAGAGAGUGUUGUUCCUGUGGUAAUAGUAUUCACAUAACGCAUUGUAUUUUACUCUGUUUCGUCUGUUUUUUACCUCCAUGUAAUUUAUAUAAUUUAAGUUUAAACUUUAUCUUAAUACAAAUUAUUUAAUACUUUUAUAAUUUUACAUAUCUCUAAUUUGCGUUCGAUAGCUCGACAAUAAAAUAUUUUUACUAGAUAAAAUCAAAUGGUCCUAGGAGUCCAAUUAAUAUGGUAAGUUGGAGAAUGAUCACUAAUAAUUAUUUAUAGGUAAAAAUAUUGUAAAUACCUCCAGAACUUCUUUAUAAAAACAUGUUCCCUAAAUCGCGUCGAAGUUCUGGUCGAAAAGCAAAAAAAAUAAUUUAUAAAUAUUAAUACUCCCUAUAAAAUCCACUACAAUGUUUGCGGUAGAUAUUUCAUUUAAAAAAAAAAAUUGUGAUUCAGCAGAUUCU